rnacentral:rRNA from 1 species
UACAGAGACUGCAAGCGUUAUUCGGAUUCACUGGGCGUAAAGGGCGCGUAGGCGGCCUGGUAAGUAGGGGGUGAAAUCCUGCGGCUUAACCGCAGGGCUGCCUUCUAAACUGUCAGGCUUGAGCACGGUAGAGGCAGAUGGAAUUCCCGGUGUAGCGGUGGAAUGCGUAGAGAUCGGGAAGAACAUCAGUGGCGAAGGCGGUCUGCUGGGCCGUUGCUGACGCUGAGGCGCGACAGCGUGGGGAGCAAACAGG